GACAGAGGCUGCUGGUGGCCUGCUGCAAGAGGUGUCUCGGUAACCCACCCGAGCUUCUGGCUGAGCCAAGUCGUCUACAGUCGUCUCCAGGCAGUCGGGGUGGUUUCUGUCAAGUGAGUUUCAAGAUGAGCCUGAGGAAUGUCUCUUGUAAGGCAAAGCCAAGGCUGCCAAAUGCCCCGUCUGUGGAGCAUGUUCGGCUCGCUGCAGAAUAAGAAUGCUUAGCGCAGAAAGGAUUCCUUGCUUCCAGGCGGUGUUGAUCCUUUGUCACCGGUGGCAAGGAGGACAGUGCUGGGAGCUCGAAGUAGUGCCUUCGGCAGCUUUGCUCUUCAAAGCCAGCGGCGCUUCUGUUCCUUGGCAAAAGGAGCUGCACUUCCUUCUCCCAGAAGUGUUGUUGCAGAAGUUUGGCAGUGCAAGUGAGGACUUUUUCCUGCAAAUGCAAGGCAGUCUUGGCAGCAGCAGUUGAAAUUGUUUCUCAGGUGGUGCUACAGAGAGACGGAGCGUGCUGUGCUGGCCCUUUGCUGCGUUCCAGAGCUCUGCUGCUGCCAAUGUACUUGGGCAGUGGGGAUCUAACAGCAGAAGAGCACUCUUUGGCCAGCAUCUGGUGGCUGUAGGGAGGAUGGCGCACUGUGCAAGCAGAUCCAGUAGAGAAGGCCUGGUGAGGGAGUAU